CGUUUUGUUUACACCUCCUUUUGUUCUCUCUCUAAUACACAGAGUCUGUGACCACCAAACCUCACCCAAUCUCACCUCGACCUCGACCCCCUCGUACUCCAAUCACUACGCCACCCCAACACUCUCAAACCCUCCCAACAACUCUACAAUCAGAACCGCUUCCUUCAAACCCCACACGAUCCUAACUCCCACCUUUGUUUCUUCCUCGUCAAUUACUGCGACUGUGGCCUCAAUUUCUUCUACCCUAAUGGUGCGAAACUUCAAGUUCUAGCCCCUCAAUCUUCCAAGUACUGUUUUUGUUUUUGUUUUUGUUUUUGUUUUUGUUUUUGUUUUGCUUUAUUUUUUCUAGGGUUUCUGAACUUGAUUUUCAAUUUCUCUAUUUUACAGGCCGAAUCAACCGAAGAACAACUCGAAGCUCUCUUCGAUUACCACCUUGUUCAACCCUUCGAUGUUGUCUACCUCGACGGGUUCACAUGGCUUCAUUACAUCACAUAAAUGGCGUGACAUAAUUGGAGCUUUUAUAAAUGUUGAGGCAUCUGGGACAGGAGGCCUAGGCCCUGAUCAGCCUGCUUGUCAAGAGAACAUGAAUCUAUACAUAAAGAGAAUUCUUCCAUGCAUGAAAGAUUUCAAUUGUCCAAGAUAUUUUGAUGUUUGAUUCACUCCAUGGAAGAACCUGUUUGCAUUAUGCUGCUUUCUAUGGCCAUCUAGAUUGCCUACAAGCUAUUCUUUCUGCUGCCCUUUCCACCUCUAUUGCACAUUCUUGUUGAUGGCAGGGGAUUUGCAAGGUUUGUGAAUAUAAAAGAUAAAAAUGGAGCAACCCCAUUGCACUUGGCAGCCUGACAAGGAUGGCCGGAGUGUGUUCAUAUGUUGUUAUACAGUGGGGCUCUUGUUUGUGCAUCUACUAGGGGAUAUGGGUAAAACUCUCUUAUUGAAGGUUUUCUAGUGUAAUGAAAUAGCACUGUUAAUUUGUCAUUAAUAUUUAUAAGAGUCCUACUGCUGUGUGUUCUCAUGUGUGUUCAUAUGUAGUUUAAAGUUUUUUCUUCUAAGGGCAAAUGUUGUUGUGUUAAUUUCUCCAGCCACAGAACAGGUAAAGAAUGUCGUGAUGUCAAUUUGUUUUUUUAACUUAAUAAUUUAUUUUUUAAAGAGCUGCCCUUGAAAUUUGUUCGUAUUUGCAUUUUUUACUAUAUUUAUCAGCAAUGUUAGAAUUUCAAGAUGCCUUAACUGUGAAUUAUAUGAGCAUUUGGACUAUUUUAUCAAAAUGUGUUUGGAGAUGAUGUAUAAAAUAAGUUAUUAACUGGAAGAAUGUAUGAUAAUCAUUACUAAUGAUUUUGCUUGCCUUAGUCACUGUUGGGGCUUGAAUUGACAUCUAGAGUCCUUUUUAGUUCUUCUCUGUAUUCUCUUACUCAAAAAAAUAAUAAUAAUAAUCUUCUCUAUAUUUAGCCAUAUGUCUCAAAGAGUCAAAGACCAAUUGUAAAUAGUAUAAAUGGAUCAAUUGCAGAUCUGAUUCACGAAGAUUUCGAUUUUUCAUUUAUGAAUUUAAACUUGUCAUGCUUCUCUUAGGGUGUACCAUAUAAAGAAUGGUUUGGAAUCCUUACAGCUUCAUCCUUGGUUCUCAUUUCUUACUUUCAUUUUAAUUACUAGAUUCCUGGUAAGUAACAACCAUAAUUGGCCAUUUCCUUUUUGUUGUUUUAUUAUUUAUUUAUUUAUUUAUUUAUUUUUUCACAUAAAAACAAAAAUAACCAAGACCAAACAUAGGUGGUGGUCUAUACAAUUUCUUUGUCUACCACAAUUCUAGUGUAUACUUACUUUGUGAUUCUGUGAUCUGGGUAAAAGGUAAAGAGAAAACAAGAAAAUAUUUAUUUUAUUGAUUUUCUGAAUGAAUGAGCAUUAUAUAGAGAAGAUAGUAUAUAUACAAGAGUGAUCUACCUAACCUAACCAUAACCGUCUAACUAAACUAUAGUUAAACUCUAACAAACUAACUACCUAGCCUUGAUAAUACACACAUGACUAUUGGAGCUAUUGUUCUGAAGCUGCUGAGCUGCUGUGGCUGCUGCUCUACUUUGGAGCUGCUGGAGCUGUUGUGAUUGCUGCUCUGCUGGAGCUACUGUGUUGUGGCUGUGGUUGUGCUACUGUGGAGCUGUUGGAGCUCGAACUGCUGCUCUGCUAGAGCUGCUGUGUUGUAGCUGUGGUUGUGCAAUGGUUGAGUUGUUGUCUUCAUUAAAAGGGACAAGAAACUAUUUUGGUUGUCGGCCAUUGCACCAUUGAUGUCUGUUAUUUUAUCUACUCUUAUCAUUUUCCUGACAAGAGCUGAUAAAUAUGGAGUUAAAAUAGUGAAACACAUCAAAGGAGGGCUGAAUCCAAUCUCAAUUCAUCAGUUACAAUUCAAUAGCCCACAUGCCUCAGAAGUGGCUAAAAUUGGACUGAUUGUUGCAGUUGUUGCUCUCACGGUGCAUUCCUCAUCACUAUUUAUUCCCUUCCAUUUAUUCUUCAGCAUUAUUCUUGAACAUUUUGAAUUUCUUGUGAAAAGUGUCUUAAUACGUGUGCCAACUUCAAGAAGCCAUUGCGGUUGGUCGAUCUUUUGCAUCCAUAAAAGGAUACCAUCUUGAUGAAAACAAGGAAAUGUUGGCCAUGGGCUUCAUGAACAUUGCAGAAUCUUUAACUUCAUGCUAUGCUGCCAAAUAAAUUUGGGGUUGCAUUAGUUGAAGCUUUAGGGUUUUUAAGCAUUUGAAACCAAAUAAAUGGUGCCUGCUUUCUUCAUUUUAAUUUACUUGCCUUUCCAUAUCAUAUGAAAAAAAAAAAUUUGCUGUGAUGAUUAUGUUUCGACACCUAUUUGAAUUUCUUCUGUAUUGACAAAUAUAUUAAUCUAUUCAGAUAUGGAUAACUCUCUGUAGUUAACUGUAAAUUGCAUCUUUUGAAUACUUGGUUGUGAUUUAUGGAAGAACCUUUUUUUUCCUUUUAGAUAAAAUAUGGAGGUCACUAGUGUAUUAUAUUUUUUUUAACAACCACAAGUGUUGUCUGCUAGUGUAAAUCUUGAAACAAAAAUGUGUUUUCAUUUGUUUUGAAAAUUAGUUUUCAUUCCCUUUCUUCCCCACUACCGUUGCUCACCACCUACUAUCGGCUACUGUUGUGAGAGGAUGGGCUGUUAUGCAAUGCUGUUGUUUUUGCUUUGCUUUGUUUUUCAGUGUUGCUUCAGAUUCUGCUGCUUUGGCUCAGGCUCUAUUCUUCUGUUGCAGGCUAUCACUUUGCUUCAAUUUUUACUUUGGUCUGUUUCAGGCUUUAUUUUGUUGGUUUGCUCUACUCAGCUAUGGACUGCUAUGUGUUGAAUUAUUUUUUACAAUGUUGCUGGUCUGUUCUAUUUUGUUUCUCAGUGUCAAUUUGCAAUGCUGGUGAAGGCAGGCUAGUGUGUGUAUGUUGCUGCUGUUGAGAGUUAAUUUAGUUAGUGAAGAUGCUAGGAUUGAUCAAAUGCAUGGCAAAUCAGUUGAAGUGCUUUGGGAACUGCAGCGUGACAUCUCUUCUCAUAUUCAAUUAUUGUAAUAAUUAUUGUAAUUUAGUUGGUUACAUAUUUUCAUCUUUACUUUAAAUGGAAUUCAAUUAUUGUUUGAUGAUUUAAUGAAGUUACAAGAAAGGAAAUUUGUUAA